rnacentral:tRNA from 1 species
GACCAUCACAUUACAAAUGCGAUGCUCUAACCUCUGAGCUAAGCGGGC